GGUGAGCUCAGAGUCCCCCUUCUAUGUCUCCAAGACAGAAGAACAGCAAAAUAUCCCUGGCCGAUCCUCGGAGGAUGCGAGAACCAAGAGAUUGCGCUCCCAGAGAACAGAAAGGAGAAGUUGAGAACCUUAACCUGCGGGAGACCGUUAGGGAAUCAGGUGACUCUAACCAUGACAGAAGGACACAUUUCCCGGUUUGAAAACUAAGGUGUUAGACGGAGGAGCAGGCCCUGACCGGGAUCCGACCCCACGGGUCCCUUCCGAGAACCCUCACCAAGUGUACCAUAACCCCGAGGAUCCAAUCUUGCGCACCCUGGACUUCAGAGAGCCUCCACGGGUGAUUCCUGACCCGGCAGGUGCAGGUCCGGGUGCGGGUCCGAGUUCGCCAAGGGAAUAACAUGUGACGCAAAGAGCCCCUUUCUCUUGCAAUGUCCACUGUCCUGGGGUCGCAUCUUUGCGUUCAGGUCCGCCAGAAGACCCUGCCAGGAUUCGGGGCACGGGAUGCUCUCAGAGGCCGUGUCUUCUGUGCUUCUAUUUUCAGAAGAGUCCACCAGAGAUCCUGACAGGGAGCCGCCCUUUCUGUUUUGAUCCAGGCAAUGGCCAGAAGGCAAAGGUUAGAAGGCAAAGACCUGUUUGUUUCCGCCCUGUGGGGGCCACUUGUGCAAGCCUGAGGGACAGAUACAGCCCUUCCUUCAUUCAACUCCCGUUCCACCUCCCUGGGGCACAGGCUGAAGGACUGAACACCACAGCCUGUGUCUGCCCCUCCAUGACCUGGUAAUGAGACUUAGGGACGAGAGGGUGGCAGGAACUCUGUGCCAGUAUAGCACUGGGCUGGAGGUGCUAGGUCUACAGUGGCCAGGGACAGAGUGGGAGCAGGCACUGGUCUGCAGUUGCCUCUGUCUAGAUUCUGUCGUUCAGCUGGGCUUCCUGCACCUUAAGGAGAGGACUCACUGAAGGAUGAAGGUCUUUCCUUAAAAAGGACCUUACCCUCUAUACUGGCUGGUUCUGUGUGUCAACUUGACACAAGCUGGAGUCAGAGAGAAAUGAGCCUCCGUUGAGGAAAUGCC
rnacentral:sRNA from 1 species